CCUACGGGAGGCAGCAGUGGGGGAUAUUGCACAAUGGGGGGAACCCUGAUGCAGCGACGCCGCGUGGGUGAAGGAGCGUUUCGGCGCGUACAGCCCUAUCGGUAGGGAAGAAGAUGACGGUACCUGACCACGAAGCCCCGGCUAACUACGUGCCAGCAGCCGCGGUAAUAAGUAGGGGGCAAGCGUUAUCCGGAUUUACUGGGUGUAAAGGGGGCGCAGACGGCAAUGCAAGCCAGGAGUGAAAGCCCGGGGCCCAACCCCGGGACUGCUCUUGGAACUGCAUGGCUGGAGUACAGGAGGGGCAGGCGGAAUUCCUAGUGUAGCGGUGAAAUGCGUAGAUAUUAGGAGGAACACCGGUGGCGAAGGCGGCCUGCUGGACUGUGACUGACGUUGAGGCCCGAAGGCGUGGGGAGCAAACAGGAUUAGAUACCCGAGUAGUC
rnacentral:rRNA from 1 species